rnacentral:rRNA from 1 species
UACGUAGGGUGCGAGCGUUGUCCGGAAUUAUUGGGCGUAAAGAGCUCGUAGGCGGCCGGUCACGUCGGGUGUGAAAGCCCGGGGCUCAACCCCGGGUCUGCAUUCGAUACGGGCCGGCUGGAGUUCGGUAGGGGAGAUCGGAAUUCCUGGUGUAGCGGUGAAAUGCGCAGAUAUCAGGAGGAACACCGGUGGCGAAGGCGGAUCUCUGGGCCGAUACUGACGCUGAGGAGCGAAAGCGUGGGGAGCGAACAGG